GAUGAACGCUGGCGGCGUGCCUAAUACAUGCCAGUCGAGCGAACGGACGAGAAGCUUGCUUCUCUGAUGUUAGCGGCGGACGGGUGAGUAACACGUGGAUAACCUACCUAUAAGACUGGGAUAACUUCGGGAAACCGGAGCUAAUACCGGAUGAUAUUUUGAACCGCAUGGUUCAAAAGUGAAAGACGGUCUUGCUGCCACUUAUAGAUGGAUCCGCGCUGCAUUAGCUAGUUGGUAAGGUAACGGCUUACCAAGGCAACGAUGCAUAGCCGACCUGAGAGGGUGAUCGGCCACACUGGAACUGAGACACGGUCCAGACUCCUACGGGAGGCAGCAGUAGGGAAUCUUCCGCAAUGGGCGAAAGCCUGACGGAGCAACGCCGCGUGAGUGAUGAAGGUCUUCGGAUCGUAAAACUCUGUUAUUAGGGAAGAACAUAUGUGUAAGUAACUGUGCACAUCUUGACGGUACCUAAUCAGAAAGCCACGGCUAACUACGUG
rnacentral:rRNA from 1 species